GGAUCAAUGGAUUGGUCAUGCCGAUGGUAUGAACUGGUCAUAUUGGUUCUCACCUUCUAAGGAACCAUGAUGUCAUUUAUUUGAUGUUGUGGGGAAUUAGGACUGUUACCUUGAAAAAAUUAGAGUGUUUAAAGCAGGCAUAAGCUUGAAUACGUUAGCAUGGAAUAAUAGAAUAGGACU
rnacentral:rRNA from 1 species